UAAGCGGAGGAAAAGAAACUAACAAGGAUUCCCCUAGUAACGGCGAGUGAAGCGGGAAGAGCUCAAAUUUAAAAUCUGGCAGUCUACGAUUGUCCGAAUUGUAAUCUCGAGAAGUGUUUUCCGCGUUGGCCUGUGCACAAGUCCCUUGGAACAGGGCGUCAUAGAGGGUGAGAAUCCCGUCCUUGGCACAGAUACCCAAUGCUUUGUGAUACACUCUCAAUGAGUCGAGUUGUUUGGGAAUGCAGCUCAAAAUGGGAGGUAAAUUCCUUCUAAAGCUAAAUACUGGCGAGAGACCGAUAGCGAACAAGUACCGUGAGGGAAAGAUGAAAAGCACUUUGGAAAGAGAGUCAAACAGUACGUGAAAUUGUUGAAAGGGAAACGAUUGAAGUCAGUCGUGCCUGCCUAGAUUCAGCCUUCUGGUGUAUUUCUAGGUCGGCAGGUCAGCAUCAGUUUGGGAGGGUUAACAAGGGGAUUAGGAAUGUGGCAACCUCGGUUGUGUUAUAGCCUAGUUUCGUAUUGAUCUUGCUGGACUGAGGAACGCAGUGCGCCCGCAAGGGUAGGUCUUCGGACACUUUCGCACUUAGGAUGCUGGCAUAAUGGCUUUAAACGACCCGUCUUGAAACACG
rnacentral:rRNA from 1 species